rnacentral:rRNA from 1 species
AACGCGAAGAACCUUACCGGGGCUUGACAUCCUGCGCUAUCCUAGGAGACUAGGUUUCCGGGCAACCGGACGCAGAGACAGGUGCUGCAUGGCUGUCGUCAGCUCGUGCCGUGAGGUGUUGGGUUAAGUCCCGCAACGAGCGCAACCCUUGCCGUGUGUUGGUCGCAAGAUCUCUCACGCGGGACCGCCGGUGACAAGCCGGAGGAAGGUGGGGAUGACGUCAAGUCAGCAUGGCCCUUACGUCCCGGGCUACACACGUGCUACAAUGGGAGGGACAACGAGUCGCGAACCCGCGAGGGCAAGCUAAUCUCACAAACCCUCUCUCAGUUCGGAUUGAAGGCUGCAACUCGACUCCAUGAAGCUGGAAUCGCUAGUAAUCGCAGAUCAGAACGCUGCGGUGAAUACGUUCCCGGGCCUUGUACACACCGGACACGC